rnacentral:rRNA from 1 species
GACGAACGCUGGCGGCGUGCCUAAUACAUGCAAGUAGAACGCACAGUCUAUACCGUAGCUUGCUACACCAUAGCCUGUGAGUUGCGAACGGGUGAGUAACCCGUAGGUAACCUUCCUGGUAGCGGGGGGUAACUAUUGGAAACGAUAUAUAAUACCGCAUAUUAUUGUUUAUUGCAUGAUAAUUAAUUGCAAGGUGCAAUUGCUCCACUACCAUAUGGAUCUGCGGUGUAUUAGCUAGUAGGUGAGGUAACGGCUCACCUAGGCGACGAUACAUAGCCGACCUGAGAGGGUGAUCGGCCACACUGGGACUGAGACACGGCCCAGACUCCUACGGGAGGCAGCAGUAGGGAAUCUUCGGCAAUGGACGAAAGUCUGACCGAGCAACGCCGCGUGAGUGAAGAAGGUUUUCGGAGCGUAAAGCUCUGUUGUAAGAGAAGAACGGGUGUGAGAGUGGAAAGUUCACACUGUGACGGUAUCUUACCAGAAAGGAACGGCUAACUACGUG